GUAGUCUCGCACAGAUGCAUAUCAAUAAGCGGAGGAAAAGAAACUAACAAGGAUUCCCUUAGUAACGGCGAGUGAAGCGGGAAGAGCUCAAAUUUGAAAUCUUCAAGGUUUUACCUUGACGAAUUGUAGUUUAAAGAAGUGUUUUCUGUUGAAGUUUUGGUAAAAGUUCUUUGGAAUAGGACAUCAUAGAGGGUGAGAAUCCCGUAUUUGACCAUUAUUUUCAGCUGUGUGAUACACUUUCAAAGAGUCGGAUUGUUUGGGAAUGCAGUCCAAAAUGGGUGGUAAAUUUCAUCUAAAGCUAAAUAUUGGCGAGAGACCGAUAGCGAACAAGUACCGUGAGGGAAAGAUGAAAAGAACUUUGAAAAGAGAGUUAAACAGUACGUGAAAUUGUCAAAAGGAAGCGUUUGACACCAGUGUUGUUUUCUCGAAAAUCAAUUAAAAAGAGUUUGAUUUUGUUGUGUAUUGACCUUAACAGCUUGCAUUUCAAUUUUCUUGCUUUUUUUAAUGCACUUUUCGUUUAACAAGUCAACAUCAGUUUCUUUUGUUGUAAAAAGGUCAUUGGAAGGUGGCUUUCUUUUCGGAGAAAGUGUUUAUAGCCUUUGACUCCUGCAAUCGGAGAGACUGAGGUCUGCAGCGUAGAUCCUUCGGGGUUAGAUACAUUUGUGCUAAGUUAUAGCUUUUUAUAGACAACUUGUUGACUAUGAUUAGUCUUGUAGCUUACUCGCUUAUGCUAUUUUACCUACGCUUAGGAUGUUGAGCGCAUGUCUCUCUCU
rnacentral:rRNA from 1 species